UACAGAGGGGGCAAGCGUUGUUCGGAAUUACUGGGCGUAAAGGCGCGUAGGCGGCCUUCUAAGUCGAACGUGAAAUCCCCGGGCUCAACCUGGGAAUUGCAUUCGAGACUGAAUAGCUAGGGUACGGUAGAGGCAGAUGGAAUUCCCGGUGUAGCGGUGGAAUGCGUAGAGAUCGGGAAGAACAUCGGUGGCGAAGGCGGUCUGCUGGGCCGUUCUGACGCUGAGGCGCGACAGCGUGGGGAGCAAACGAGG
rnacentral:rRNA from 1 species